rnacentral:rRNA from 1 species
GGGUAGUCACUACGAGUCACGUUACAGCAUGCAGUCGACGGCAGCACGGGUGCUUGCACCUGGUGGCGAGUGGCGAACGGGUGAGUAAUACAUCGGAACAUGUCCUGUAGUGGGGGAUAGCCCGGCGAAAGCCGGAUUAAUACCGCAUACGAUCUAUGGAUGAAAGCGGGGGACCUUCGGGCCUCGCGCUAUAGGGUUGGCCGAUGGCUGAUUAGCUAGUUGGUGGGGUAAAGGCCUACCAAGGCGACGAUCAGUAGCUGGUCUGAGAGGACGACCAGCCACACUGGGACUGAGACACGGCCCAGACUCCUACGGGAGGCAGCAGUGGGGAAUUUUGGACAAUGGGCGAAAGCCUGAUCCAGCAAUGCCGCGUGUGUGAAGAAGGCCUUCGGGUUGUAAAGCACUUUUGUCCGGAAAGAAAUCCUUGGCUCUAAUACAGUCGGGGGAUGACGGUACCGGAAGAAUAAGCACCGGCUAACUACGUGCCAGCAGCCGCGGUAAUACGUAGGGUGCAAGCGUUAAUCGGAAUUACUGGGCGUAAAGCGUGCGCAGGCGGUUUGCUAAGACCGAUGUGAAAUCCCCGGGCUCAACCUGGGAACUGCAUUGGUGACUGGCAGGCUAGAGUAUGGCAGAGGGGGGUAGAAUUCCACGUGUAGCAGUGAAAUGCGUAGAGAUGUGGAGGAAUACCGAUGGCGAAGGCAGCCCCCUGGGCCAAUACUGACGCUCAUGCACGAAAGCGUGGGGAGCAAACAGGAUUAGAUACCCUGGUAGUCCACGCCCUAAACGAUGUCAACUAGUUGUUGGGGAUUCAUUUCCUUAGUAACGUAGCUAACGCGUGAAGUUGACCGCCUGGGGAGUACGGUCGCAAGAUUAAAACUCAAAGGAAUUGACGGGGACCCGCACAAGCGGUGGAUGAUGUGGAUUAAUUCGAUGCAACGCGAAAAACCUUACCUACCCUUGACAUGGUCGGAAUCCUGAAGAGAUUCGGGAGUGCUCGAAAGAGAACCGGCGCACAGGUGCUGCAUGGCUGUCGUCAGCUCGUGUCGUGAGAUGUUGGGUUAAGUCCCGCAACGAGCGCAACCCUUGUCCUUAGUUGCUACGCAAGAGCACUCUAAGGAGACUGCCGGUGACAAACCGGAGGAAAGGUGGGGAUGACGUCAAGUCCUCAUGGGCCCUUAUGGGGUAGGGCUUCCCACCGCCAUUCAAUGGGUCGGAAACAGAAGGGUUCCCACCCCCCGAGGGGGAGCUAAUCCCCAAAAAACCGACUUUAUUCCCGGAUUGCACUCUUGCACCCCCAGGGGGUUAAAACUGGGAACCUCUUUUAUCCCCGG